CUUCUCUGCAGUGCUGCCUUCUCUCUAGACUGUGAGUGGCGGGGCUGGGGACAUCGC
rnacentral:ncRNA from 2 species